rnacentral:rRNA from 1 species
GACGAACGCUGGCGGCGUGCUUAACACAUGCAAGUCGAACGGAAAGGCCCUGCUUGCCGGGUACUCGAGUGGCGAACGGGUGAGUAACACGUGGGUGAUCUGCCCUGCACUUCGGGAUAAGCCUGGGAAACUGGGUCUAAUACCGGAUAGGAGCCAUUUUUAUGGUGAUGGUUGGAAAGUUUUUUCGGUGUAGGAUGAGCUCGCGGCCUAUCAGCUUGUUGGUGGGGUAAUGGCCUACCAAGGCGGCGACGGGUAGCCGGCCUGAGAGGGUGGACGGCCACAUUGGGACUGAGAUACGGCCCAGACUCCUACGGGAGGCAGCAGUGGGGAAUAUUGCACAAUGGGCGCAAGCCUGAUGCAGCGACGCCGCGUGGGGGAUGACGGCCUUCGGGUUGUAAACUCCUUUCGCUAGGGACGAAGCUUUUUGUGACGGUACCUAGAUAAGAAGCACCGGCUAACUACGG